AGCGUAGGCUGUACGGUAAGUCAGAUGUGAAAGCCCACGGCUCAACCGUGGAAGUGCAUUUGAAACUGGCAGACUUGAGUAUCAGAGGGGAAAGUGGAAUUCCCGGUGUAGAGGUGAAAUUCGUAGAUAUCGGGAGGAAUACCGGUGGCGAAGGCGACUUUCUGGCUGAAUACUGACGCUGAGGCUCGAAAGCGUGGGGAGCAAACA
rnacentral:rRNA from 1 species